rnacentral:lncRNA from 1 species
CCGUCCCCGAGGGUGGCUCGGAUCCUUUCAACCAGCGCGCUGGAGGCGAAGGGGCUGCGCCAUUCCGGGUCAGGCAGCCAACGCGGGACACGCGCGUCUCCGAGCUUGCGGCCCGCGAAACCCGGGUGACCUACCGCGCCGGUGCCCUCAAAGCCCCCACGCCCGGGCCGGUGGCCGCUGCAGCCACUGAGCCACGCGGUCUCCCCGGCCCGGUCGGCAGAAGGAGCUGGUCCGUUACUAGAAAAGUCCAGAUGCAAAGUCGGGGGUCGUGCUGCCGCUUCCUGCCAGCGCACCGCACCCACCUGGGGCCGCCACCGACCGCACAGGACGCGCCUCCUACCCCCUGUUCUGGCCCGGCCGAGAGCUGGUGCCCCCAGCGGCCGCCCGCCCCCGUCCGCAGACCCCGGGGCCCUUGCUGCUUUGCAUUGGGAACAACCGGAGCCAGGCCCGGAGCUGAGGGGGCCAGGGCCUUUGGAGGAAGCAUUGGCCUCCAGGCUGAAGAGCAAGGGCCGUGUCACCUGCCCGGAGGGCGGUCUCAUCUCUGCAGCCAGGUCAGAGGAAGCAGCGGUGGGGAGACGGAGUGCGCGAGUUGGGAGGCUCCACGCAUCGUAGGUGGAGAGCUGGCUGCCAGCCUGGCCUGCCCUCUCUUCCCCGUCCCACCAUCUCGCUUGGCUCCGGCACCUGCCUGGGAAGACCCACACCUCCGUCUGCAGUGCCUCUUCCCCCUGGAGGCCCUGCCCUCCGCUCGGGGUCCCCGCAUCCUUCCGUGGCCCUCAGAGCAUCGCCUGGGGCGCCCGCGGAACUCAUCUGUUAGGCCUGGGAUGCAGGCAGGCAGAAGUGGGGGUUUAAGUGGAAGCAGUGAGGGUGGGGGUCCGGUCCAAACUGUGCCACCUUCCACCCCCUGCCCCUGGGAGAGCAGACAUCGCCCACUCGGGCUCACAGUGCCAUCCGGGUGAGGACCUCCGUGGAGAGCUCUCUUUGCCAAAGAAAAGCAGUUGCAUUAGGUCUGCGAGCAGGCAGGGUGGCCUCUUCCUGGCUCCCCAUCCACCAAGGAAGCUUCAAGUCCCUGGGACACAGGCACUUUCCCACACAGGAUGGAGCCGGGCCACCCUCACAGCUCCUGCCCUGCAGACGCUGGCCUUGUGGAGGGAGGCAGGCAGCAGGAGCAGUGCUUUCUGGGCCUCUGUAGCCAGAGCUGGCCCUGCUGCAGCUUACGUCUGCCUGCAGCCCAGACGUCCUCCUGGUCCUCCUGAUGCCCCCGACCUCCACGGAGGACGAGCAUUUCCAGCCCAGCCCUCCCCAUCUUCACCUCGCACUCCCCUGACACACUGGGAGCCUCCUGAUCCGUGAACCCGCGCUGGCGGGAGUAGCUACUGACCGCUGGGGACCCCUGCCCAGGCUGUUCGCAUGUGGAAAGGAUUCAGGGAGCAGGCGAUGCCCAAAGCGUGGAGACCAGCACUGCUCUCUCCCCAGUGACAGUGCAGUACAGCUGUGCCGUGUACAGGAGGGUGCUGUCUGACGCCAGACACCUGGACUACAGAUCGCAGCCUGAUUCCUGGUCAUUGCUCCACUGAACCCCAGACCCCAGCCUCGUUCUGGGCCCUCAUCCCCUAGAUCCAGGGACCCCAGCCCCAUUUCAGCCCUUGGGCCCUUGUAGGAUGCGAGGCCCUGGGCCCCAGCCCCCAGCCCAUCCGUGGCCCAGGCACUGGGGGGCUGAGGUCCUCUGAGAAGGGACACAGGGCCUGGGGGGCUCUCUCAGCCCAUCAGCAGGAGAGGACUGACUCCAGAAAAAUCAGCGUUUGUACCCACUCAGGCUGCCAAGACCUGUGUCCGUCCUUCCAAGCUCAACCUUCAGAGUUCAUGAGGCCCCUUGCCCAGAAUGUCCACAGAGUUCAUGAGGCCCCUUGCCCGGAAUGUCCACAUUUGAAACCUCCCAACACCGAGCCCCAUUUCAAGUAUAACCAGGAGGGAAAAUGGUGCUUGAAAUAAGCAUGCCACAAAGGAAAACCUGCUUUCUCGAAAUGGGCCCUGGCCGCCCAGGCCCUGACCUCCCCGGCCAGGAUGGAACGUUCCAGAGACCCAUUAGUGCCAAAGGCAAAUGAAAA